CGAGCGGGGAAGGGUAGCUUGCUACCUGACCUAGCGGCGGACGGGUGAGUAAUGCUUAGGAAUCUGCCUAUUAGUGGGGGACAACAUUCCGAAAGGAAUGCUAAUACCGCAUACGCCCUACGGGGGAAAGCAGGGGAUCUUCGGACCUUGCGCUAAUAGAUGAGCCUAAGUCAGAUUAGCUAGUUGGUGGGGUAAAGGCCUACCAAGGCGACGAUCUGUAGCGGGUCUGAGAGGAUGAUCCGCCACACUGGGACUGAGACACGGCCCAGACUCCUACGGGAGGCAGCAGUGGGGAAUAUUGGACAAUGGGCGAAAGCCUGAUCCAGCCAUGCCGCGUGUGUGAAGAAGGCCUUUUGGUUGUAAAGCACUUUAAGCGAGGAGGAGGCUACCGAGAUUAAUACUCUUGGAUAGUGGACGUUACUCGCAGAAUAAGCACCGGCUAACUCUGUGCCAGCAGCCGCGGUAAUACAGAGGGUGCGAGCGUUAAUCGGAUUUACUGGGCGUAAAGCGUGCGUAGGCGGCUUUUUAAGUCGGAUGUGAAAUCCCUGAGCUUAACUUAGGAAUUGCAUUCGAUACUGGGAAGCUAGAGUAUGGGAGAGGAUGGUAGAAUUCCAGGUGUAGCGGUGAAAUGCGUAGAGAUCUGGAGGAAUACCGAUGGCGAAGGCAGCCAUCUGGCCUAAUACUGACGCUGAGGUACGAAAGCAUGGGGAGCAAACAGGAUUAGAUACCCUGGUAGUCCAUGCCGUAAACGAUGUCUACUAGCCGUUGGGGCCUUUGAGGCUUUAGUGGCGCAGCUAACGCGAUAAGUAGACCGCCUGGGGAGUACGGUCGCAAGACUAAAACUCAAAUGAAUUGACGGGGGCCCGCACAAGCGGUGGAGCAUGUGGUUUAAUUCGAUGCAACGCGAAGAACCUUACCUGGUCUUGACAUAGUAAGAACUUUCCAGAGAUGGAUUGGUGCCUUCGGGAACUUACAUACAGGUGCUGAAUGGCUGUUUGUGCUCGUGUCGUGAGAUGUUGGGUUAAGUCCCGCAACGAGCGCAACCCUUUUCCUUAUUUGCCAGCGGGUUAAGCCGGGAACUUUAAGGAUACUGCCAGUGACAAACUGGAGGAAGGCGGGGACGACGUCAAGUCAUCAUGGCCCUUACGACCAGGGCUACACACGUGCUACAAUGGUCGGUACAAAGGGUUGCUACCUAGCGAUAGGAUGCUAAUCUCAAAAAGCCGAUCGUAGUCCGGAUUGGAGUCUGCAACUCGACUCCAUGAAGUCGGAAUCGCUAGUAAUCGCGGAUCAGAAUGCCGCGGUGAAUACGUUCCCGGGCCUUGUACACACCGCCCGUCACACCAUGGGAAUUUGUUGCACCAGAAGUAGGUAGUCUAA
rnacentral:rRNA from 1 species